AUGGAUUUUUUGGUUCAGAUUUCCACCUUGCUUCUGAUCUAUGUCACAGUGUCAAAGGGAGAAAUUGUGCUCACCCAGUCUCCAGCAUCCAUUACUGCGUCUCGAGGAGAGAAGGUCACCAUCACCUGCCGUGCCAGCUCAAGUAUAAGUUCCAAUUACUUGCACUGGUACCAGCAGAAGGCAGGAUCCUUCCCUAAACUCUUGAUUUAUCGGACAUCCAUCCUGGCUUCUGGAUUCCCAGACAGCUUCAGUGGCAGUGGGUCUGAUACCUCUUACACUCUGACAAUCAGCUGCAUGCAGGAUGAAGUUGCUGCCUCUUACUACUGUCAGCAGGGGAGUAGUAGCCCACCACACAGUACCACAGACUGGGACAAAAUGCUUUAUCUACCAGCUGCUUCCUCCUAG